AGAGCUUUAAGUUAAGCAAACUAUUAACCUUCAAAGUUAAACAUAUAUUACAUUAUAUAAGCUUUA
rnacentral:tRNA from 1 species